rnacentral:lncRNA from 10 species
GGCCCCGCCCCCGCCCCUGCCCCGGGGCAGCCUGUGCUGUUCCGUGUGCGCGGCGCAUACGCACCUGGGUUGUCUCGAGCCUGCGGUAGUGGCCAGAUCCCAGACAUCCGAGUAGAUCCCGUGAAAAGGUCUCCCACGUGGGCUGUGGACAGGGCCCAAGGGUAGCAGAGCUAGCAGAGGCAGUGACGGACUGUGUGGCAGCUUCUUCUUGGUUUCUUCGUACAUUCUGGAUCCACCCCUUUCAUGCAUAUUCCAGACCACAUUUCCACUGGAGCAGUUGAAAUGAGAGAGAUGGGAAUGGGACUCACCCGAACCAGAGGAAUUUUUAUUACAGACCCAUUAACAGAGGUGUCAAAGUCACAGGAACAAGGAUGUGCACCUCAGAAACACAGAGGUCAGUGGAAAAUCAGUUUGCUUCUAUUUGUUUAAAAAAUGGGGGACUUAUGCAUAAAUCUAAGACCUUCUUGAAUCUAACAUUCUAAGACCUGUAUGCCACAGAAAGGAGGGUCUCAGAACGCCGGAGGAUAGUAUUUAAAUCUUAAAUAUCUAUAUUGUUCUCCACAGUUACUGGGUCACCACAUAGCAGGCAUUCAAUAAAAACGUGUUUGUUUACUAAGUAA